GACGAACGCUGGCGGCGUGCUUAACACAUGCAAGUCGAGCGGUAAGGCCCUUUCGGGGGUACGACGAGCGGCGAACGGGUGAGUAACACGUGGGUGACCUGCCCUCAGCUCUGGGAUAAGCCUGGGAAACUGGGUCUAAUACUGGAUAUGACUCCACGGUGCAUGUCGUGGGGUGGAAAGCCUUGUGCGGCUGAGGAUGGGCCCGCGGCCUAUCACCGCUUGUUGGUGGGGGUGAUGGCCUACCAAGGCGACGACGGGUAGCCGGCCUGAGAGGGCGACCGGCCACACUGGGACUGAGACACGGCCCAGACUCCUACGGGAGGCAGCAGUGGGGAAUCUUGCGCAAUGGGCGAAAGCCUGACGCAGCGACGCCGCGUGAGGGAUGACGGCCU
rnacentral:rRNA from 1 species